GAAAACUUUCCCAACCUAUUCUUCAAAGGUCUCUUGGCUUAGUGCACGUCCUGAAUAUGCUUAGUUUCUUACUGGUUGCUGCACCUCACUUUGAGGUUUUGAUUGAUAGAUACACAAUCAUAUAAUUUACAUCCAUUUUAUGGUAGUAUUGCUCUUUAAGCAAAUGAAAAAAAAUAAAAAUAAAGAAAUGAAUACCCUCCAAAUGAAAACUUGUCCCUCGUGCUUUGCUCCUCCAUGCAGAACCUUCUCCCUAUAGCAUAAGCACACAAUACCCUUUCUGAAUAAGAGCCAUAAUUUCAACACACAAACACAUACUCUUUUAAAAAUGUUGACACAUUUCUGAUUUUUCAUCCAGACGCACAUGUUUCUGUGUUGUUUUUAUGUGAACAUUAACAUAUGAAUAUGGUGAUGAAGUGGCUUCCAUUACCAACUUCUUCAACUUUCUGCUUUCCUUUUCAACUUUUUCAGUUGGCAAGGAGCAAGAGAGCU
rnacentral:misc_RNA from 1 species